CUGAACACACUCAAGUUGAGGAAGAAAAGGUGAAACUCAUCUGCAGCAGAUGACCUUUUAUUAUUGUUAGAGAGCAUCUGCGUGUACUUGUGUAUGCCAUAGCUGAAACUAAAAGUCAGCAAUAUCGAGUUUCUCCUCCUGCACCACCAUUCACUUCUCCAUUCAGGCCUGCCCCUGGGGGGGAAGAGGCUGGCACAACCUGAGCUUUUCAUCCAAGAAAAAGACCGCCACCCAACUGGACGCUGAGCAUGGAUCACACAGAGAGCUCCUCACCACCAGACUCACCACCACUGUGUGGCAGGCAGCUGGAGUCACAGGGGGUGUAGGGUGAUCAUUAUCACCCAAGCUGCAAAAACAGAGCUGACCACAUAUUUUACCUGCUGUUACGAACCUAACUGGAGCUGAAACCUCGGAGCUGCUUUCACAGUCCUGAGUUUCAUGGAGUGUGAACCUCAGCUGUGUUUUUGGAGGGAAUUCUUUAACACCAAAUCCUCAAGAUGAGCAGUGACCAUAUCGGAGCUUCCCUACUCCUUCCCCCUGACCAC